GGUGUUAUUUUUCUUCUAUUUUACUUCUUGUUUAAUUUUUAGUAAUAUUUGUAAGUCCUUAAUAAGUUGGAUAGCAGAAUAAAAAUAAAGAUAAAAAGAUAAGACACCGUGGAAGCUCUGAAAGGAAAAGCACCAUCCUUCUUCACCCUGCUGAGCCCAUGCCGCGCACUCAGUUCCCUCCCUGGUCCAGGACCGUUCUCACACGCACAGCACGCACCGCA
rnacentral:lncRNA from 1 species